rnacentral:lncRNA from 1 species
CGGGAGGCACCGUGUGGUGGCUGUGCCAGGGCCCGGCGCGGCUCUGCAGGCCCCCAGAGCUCCUCGCAAUGCAGCUCCGUCCUGCAGAGCGGAGCCCGCGGUAUCCUCCUUGUCCUCGGCUGUCUCCCCUCGGUGGUGCGUGCCGUGAGUCACGAGGAGCCUGGUGCCGCUCCAAACGCGUGUCAGCCCCGGCCUAGUGAGAGGUUCAUAGCAGGCACAGGCAAAUGGGUGGAGUUGGUAGCUGUCUGAAGUAGCCAAGAUCUUCAGUUGAUAUCGUUAAUUAUCAUGUGAUGGUGCCAAAGUUUGCGAGGCUCCGUGCAGCACAGAACAAAAUGACAUAUUCCCUGCCCCAAGGAGUUUACAAUCUAAAGUGGAUCUGACAACACGAGGGUGUGACAGGACACCACGAGGCUGCAGCAACAGGAUCAUGCUGUUGAGGUCUCAACUUACUCCAGCACUACAGAUGAGAGAAAGCGACAGCUCCAGAGGCCUCUUGGGAUGGCAGGAUGGAUCUGACAAAGCAAGGUGUGACAGAAUGCCACAAGGUUGCAGCAACAGAAUCCUAGGAUCCAGUGACCAGAUAAAGGCAGCGUCUAUGAAUGUUGCUGCUUCCGUCACAAGCUCACUGAACUAGAGCUGAA